AUGAACGCUGGCGGCGUGCCUAAUACCUGCAAGUCGAGCGAACGGACGAGAAGCUUGCUUCUCUGAUGUUAGCGGCGGACGGGUGAGUAACACGUGGAUAACCUACCUAUAAGACUGGGAUAACUUCGGGAAACCGGAGCUAAUACCGGAUAAUAUUUUGAACCGCAUGGUUCAAAAGUGAAAGACGGUCUUGCUGUCACUUAUAGAUGGAUCCGCGCUGCAUUAGCUAGUUGGUAAGGUAACGGCUUACCAAGGCAACGAUGCAUAGCCGACCUGAGAGGGUGAUCGGCCACACUGGAACUGAGACACGGUCCAGACUCCUACGGGAGGCAGCAGUAGGGAAUCUUCCGCAAUGGGCGAAAGCCUGACGGAGCAACGCCGCGUGAGUGAUGAAGGUCUUCGGAUCGUAAAACUCUGUUAUUAGGGAAGAAUAUAUGUGUAAGUAACUGUGCACAUCUUGACGGUACCUAAUCAGAAAGCCACGGCUAACUACGUG
rnacentral:rRNA from 1 species